rnacentral:rRNA from 1 species
GGACCAAGGAGUCUAGCAUGUGCGCGAGUCAUUGGGACCGCAUCUAAACCUAAAGGCGAAAUGAAAGUAAAGGCCGCCUUCGGGCGCGCCAAGGGAGGAUGGGCCUGCGUUCGGCUUCGGACGACGCGACCCCGCACUCCCGGGGCGUCUCGUGCUCAUCGCGAGUUGAGGCGCACCCAAAGCGUACACGCUGGGACCC